rnacentral:rRNA from 1 species
GAGACGCUGGCGGCGUGCCUAACACAUGCAAGUCGAACGGGGUGUUCCUUCGGGGACACUUAGUGGCGAACGGGUGAGUAACGCGUGAGAAACCUGCCUCUCAGUGGGGGACAACAGUUGGAAACGACUGCUAAUACCGCAUAAUGUUAUCGGGUCGCAUGAUCUGAUAACCAAAGCUUUAUGUGCUGAGAGAUGGUCUCGCGUCUGAUUAGCUAGAUGGCGGGGUAACGGCCCACCAUGGCGACGAUCAGUAGCCGGUCUGAGAGGUUGAACGGCCACAUUGGGACUGAGACACGGCCCAAACUCCUACGGGAGGCAGCAGUAGGGAAUUUUCGGCAAUGGGGGAAACCCUGACCGAGCAACGCCGCGUGAGUGAAGACGGCCUUCGGGUUGUAAAGCUCUGUUGUAAAGGAAGAAAGGCAUGGAUAGAAUCCAUGAGUGACGGUACUUUACCAGAAAGCCACGGCUAACUACGUG